AUAUCUCUCUGUACGGGAAGGAUGAGAAGCUUCGACUAAGGUUCGAUUCGAGCGCAGCGAGAAAGCGUUGCCGCAGGCAACGACCCGAAGGGCGAAGCGCGCAGCGCUGAGUCAUCCUUCCCCC
rnacentral:sRNA from 1 species